AUUAACUUGCAAGCUAUUCCAGGGCUGGAGGCUACUGUUUAGUGAUUAUUAUUAUUCCUGUCUUGCAGAGGCCAGAAGUGUGCCAAACAUUUUCAGAAAUGUGGAAAAACAUCAUUCUCUGGACAGAAUACUGAACAGGAUGAAACAGAGAGAUUCCUGGGACUGAUACCAUCCAAUUGAUACAAGAAACGAAGCAAUGGUUGGGGAUUCAUCACAGAGAUAAAUUUACAAUAUCAACGUGAUAGAAGAUCCUUUUGGAAAAAAUCAAAGCAAGUGAAUUGCAGAGGUAAGGAAACAUCCUUUUGCUGACUAGAUUCUUGCAUAAUCUGGUCUUAGUCUCACUUUAGUGGAGUGUCUUUCAAUGUUA
rnacentral:lncRNA from 1 species